rnacentral:tRNA from 1 species
GCCUGGGUGGCCCAGUUGGUUAAGCAUCUGACUUCAACUCAGGUCAUGAUCUCAUGAUUUGUGAGUUCUAGCCCCACAUCAGGCU